GGGGUUGUGGCUCAGAGGUAGAGCGCUUGUCUAGCGUGCACGAGGCACUGGGUUCGAUCCUCAGCACCACA
rnacentral:tRNA from 1 species